rnacentral:rRNA from 1 species
CCUANGGGGGGCAGCAGUGGGGAAUAUUGCGCAAUGGGGGAAACCCUGACGCAGCGACGCCGCGUGGAGGAUGAAGGUCUUCGGGUUGUAAACUCCUUUUCUCAGGGAAAAUGAUGAUGGUACCUGAGGAAUAAGCCACGGCUAACUCUGUGCCAGCAGCCGCGGUAAGACAGAGGUGGCGAGCGUUGUUCGGAAUUACUGGGCUUAAAGGGCGAGUAGGCGGUGGAGUAAGUCUGAGGUGGAAUCCUAUGGCUUAACCAUAGAACUGCCUUAGAAACUGUUUUACUUGAGUCAGUGAGGGGAGGGCGGAAUUCCUGGUGUAGCGGUGAAAUGCGUAGAUAUCAGGAGGAAGGCCUGUGGCGAAGGCGGCCCUCUGGCACUGAACUGACGCUGAGGCGCGAAAGCGUGGGUAGCAAACAGGAUUAGAUACCCCGNUANUC